UUAGCUGGUCUGAAAGGACGGUCAGCCACACUGGGACUGAGACAAGGCCCAGGCUUCAAACCGAAGCCAGCAGUGAGGAAUUUUGGACAAUGAGCGAAAGCUUGAUCCAGCAAUACUACGUGGGGGAAGAAGGCUCAAUUGGUCGUAAACCCCUUUCAUUAGGGAGGAUAAAGACAGUACCUAAAGAAGAAGCUCCGGCCAACUUCGUGCCAGCAGCCGCGGUAAUACGAAGGGAGCGAGCGUUAUCCGGAUUGAUUGGGCGUAAAGGGUCCGUAGGCGGCCUUGAGUAGUCAAAAGUAAAAGGUUAAAGCUCAACUUUAAAAUUGCUUUUAAAAAAAACGUCAAGGCUUGAGUUUGAAAGAGGAUAGCAGAAUUUUAUAUGGAGGGGUGAAAUCCUAAGAUAUAUGAAGGAAUACCAACGGCGAAGGCAGCUAUCUGGGUCAAUACUGACGCUGAGGGACGAAAGCACGGGUAGCAAAAAGGAUUUGAUACCCUCUUAGUCCGUGCCGUAAACGAUGAGUGCUCGUGCUCAGACGUAAGAUUUGGGCACUUAGGUAACCCAUUAAGCACUCCGCCUGAGAAGUACGAUCGCAAGAUUGGAACUCAAAGGAAUUGGCGGGGGUUCAUACAAGUGGUGGAACAUGUGGUUUAAUGCGAUAAUCCGCGCGAAACCUUACCAGUUCUAGACAUUUUCUUUUUUUUUAAGAUUAAAAAGAUAAUCAGGUGUUGCAUGGCUGUCGUCAGCUCGUGUUGUGAAAUGUUUGGUUAAGUCCUUUAACGAGCGCAACCCUUGUACUUAGUUGACUUCGGUGACUCUAAGUAGACUGCCCACUAGGAUAGUGGGAGAAAGGUAAGGAUGACGUCAAGUCCUCAUGGCCCUUAUGAACUGGGCUACACACGUGUUACAAUGGUAAGAACAAUGAGAAGCGAUCUUGUAAAAGUGAGCAAACCUAUAAAUCUUAUCUUAGUUCGGAUUGUGGGCUGCAACUCGCCCACAUGAAGUUGGAA
rnacentral:rRNA from 1 species